AAGACUAUGCUUUCAGGGAUCAUUUCUACAGUUUGUUACUAGAGAAUUUCUCUGAACAUGUAGUUUUCAAAAAAAAAUUAGAUU
rfam:Homo sapiens chromosome 1, GRCh38 reference primary assembly.